ensembl:lncRNA
AGUCUGCUGCCCAGGAGGGUGGUUGAGUUACCAUCACUGGAGAUGUUCAAGAAAUGUUUGGAUGCUGUACUAAAGGGCAUGGUUUAGAGGGGAAGUUAAGUUACCUUCAAAAAUAUAGGUGUGGUCCUAUGAUAAAAGUGGAGUCCCUUCAGGGUCUACAAGAAAUAAGCAGCAAACUACAUUCUACAUACAAGAAUAGAAAUACAAGAGGUAUAAGUACAGAAGAAAGAAUUUCAAUGUUUUAUGUAAGUAAAACUAUAUAAAUCAUUGUGAGAAUAUACAUGGAAUUUUUAAUAGAUUUUUACUUCGGCAGCUUCGAAUAUUUUAGAUUGCAUUGCCUAAAAGGAUUUGAAGUGGUUUGGAAAAAAAAAAUCCAAAGUUGGUUCUUUAUGUAAAUUUCCAACUGGAAAAAGAGUAUAAAAUAGUGACAGUAUUGUUUGUCGAUGUCCUCUAGUGAUUGUUAGCAAUGCAUUCUUGCACAUAUUGUUUCAGACAAAAAAUUAGUAUUUUGCAUUAGCAGAGGAUAAUUAGGCAAUAAGAUACAAAAGAGAGUAGGGUUAUCAUGAGAUAAACACACACAUGGGGUGUUAUGAGGCACAGCCAAGUAUCUGCAAUCCCUCCAGGGUAUGAUUAUCUCGUGAUAACCGUACACCCUGGAGUUGCCUUAUUGCUAUUAUAAAAUAUAUUUAUUAUAGGAAAAAAUGCACAUUUUUGUGCUGAAAGAAGACGAAGGUGGCAAUUUAGAAUGCUGAACAGCUGAGCUGUGUGGUUUACAUAGAUUAAUCUAUCCCAUUGGAAUGUUUCCUCAGCCAAAAAAAUGUUACCUAAAUCCAAGCAGUCAUAAUCUGUAGUGAUGUGCGGCUAUUUGGAGUAUUUGAGAAAUUCCCUCCUUGGUUCUUAUGCUGUUUAUUUGACUGCAAGGUAUGCACAUAAAAAUAUGAGGACAUGGAGAAGAGUUAACAGGAUGCUGAGCAUUUUGAAUGUUUGGUAAUAUUUCCAAUGUCUGGAUUCUUCCAUUUCACUUUUAUGCAAACUCUAUAUAAACAAUUGAAAGCUUCAGAGAGUUGAAAAUGCUUCUAAAACUAAUUCAAAACUAUUGGGAGAGGGAAGUUAGAAAGUACAAACAAUGUCAAAAGAGCUUUAAAAGCUGGGUAACUGAUGAGCCAGGGAGACACAAGGAGAUUCUUCCGAGCAGAAUAGUGAUUUUCUUAUCAGGUAUAGAGAUGAUGUAGCAAGGUGUAAAGGCAGGUGCAUAAAUAGACACUGGUAUCUUUGUACAAAACCGAAGCUUUGCCACCAUCUUCAGAAGACCAAGGUUUCUACAAGAAAAUACUUAGCAUCAGUCUACACUUACUUACAUAAUAGACUAGUCUAUGUAAAUAGCCUCUCUGAGUCCUACUGCCUGUCUUUGUAGAUAAAAGUUGGCAAUUAGAAUAAUGAAUUAAAAUAACUUUGUUUGCUUGGUUGCAACUUGGUAGAUGCAAAAAUCAUGUCUCUGAAAAACAUUUGUAGAAGCUCUUAUGGUUUUAGAUGUUUUAUCAACAGUUAUGCUUAAAUAUCUAUUCUUAUACUAUCAUUCUAUUAUUAAUGAAAAACAUUAUCAUAGAGUUAUAGAAUGAUUUGUAUUGGAAAGAACUAACCAUGCUCUAGUGUACAGUAUCAGUCUCUCUGACAUGGGCAGGGACACCUUCCACCAGACCAGUUUGCUCAAAUGCCCAUCCAACCCGUCUUUGGUUACCUUCAGAGAUGGGACAUUUACAAAUACUCUGGACAACCUGUCUCACUAUUUCUUCCUCAUAUCAACUCGAAAUCUACCGUCUUUUAGUUUGAAGCCAUUAUCCCUGUCCUUCACUCCCUAAUAAGGAGUUCCUCUUCAACUUUUUCAUAGGCCCCCCUUUAGGUACUGGAGGGGUAUAUUAUCAUAUUUCAGUGCAACAGUUGGAAAUCGUUUCUUUAAGUUUGUAAUAUUAUUGAACAAAUAUUAAGAAGAAAUAAGCAUUGAAGUAGCUUACAAAUUGUGUGUUAAAAUGUAAUCAAUAUUUGUAUUAAUGUUUGGGCAUAAAAACACAGAAAGAGAGCCUUGCAGAAUUUAUUUCUGCUUAGAAUCUUGUACCAUGGCCUUCAAAAUUGUCAGCUUUAAUUUAAGAUUAGUGUUUAAUAUAGAAUAUGGAGAUCAAUGCAAUUGAUAUGAUUGAAUAAAAAAGUCCUUGUAAGGAUAUAUGGUGCACAUUUUUAAAUGCAACAAGUUCAAUAAUUGGUUUAAAUGUAAAAAUAAAUUGUGUCUAGAGAUAUCUGUCCCGGCCUGGGGUGAUGCUUUAUUGGUUUUUGCAUUUCACUAACUGAUGUGCUUUCAUGUAAAAUCAAUAUUAUUCAGUCAAAUAUAUUUUGCUGUGUUGUACAGUAAGCUCAGUUAUCCAAAAUAAAAUAUU